UCUCCGUACGGGGAAGGAUGAGAAGCUUCGACUAAGGUUCGAUUCGAGCGCAGCGAGAAAACGUUGCCGCAGGCAACGACCCGAAGGGUGAGGAGCGGAGCGACGAAUAAUCCUUCCCCCACCACCA
rnacentral:sRNA from 1 species